GCAAACUUGGUCAUUUAGAGGAAGUAAAAGUCGUAACAAGGUUUCCGUAGGUGAACCUGCGGAAGGAUCAUUAUUGAAUAAACCUGAUGUAGUUGUAGCUGGCUCCUAGGAGCAUGUGCACGCUCGUCACUUUUAUCUUUCCACCUGUGCACCCAUUGUAGGCCUGGAUAACCCUCGCUUGGUUUCAAGCGGAUGCGAGAAUUGCUGUUGCUCUUUCUGCAAAGAAAGGCCAGCUCUUCUUGAAUUUCCAGGUCUAUGUUUUCUUACAUACCCCAAUUGAAUGUUACCGAAUGUUAUCAAUGGGCUUCUGCCUAUAAAACACAAUACAACUUUCAGCAACGGAUCUCUUGGCUCUCGCAUCGAUGAAGAACGCAGC
rnacentral:misc_RNA from 1 species